rnacentral:rRNA from 1 species
CGACCUCAGUUCAGGUGAGACUACCCCCUGAAUUUAAGCAUA